rnacentral:lncRNA from 1 species
UGUACAGCUACUUUGUGCUCAGAUAAUACUGUUAGAAAGUUGAAACAAUUUUCAAGUGAUCUGAAAUUUACAUCUUUCAUGGAAAAAAAGAAGAUGGGUUGUAACAUGAUUUGCUGCGAAGAAAAUAGUUGUGGUGAGGUUUAAGAAAAAUACCUCCAACUUCCUCUACUUGUGUCUUAGUUUAUUUUCCAGCAGAUGGACAGUUGUACAAAUCUGAAAAGGAAAAAGCCGCUGAAGAAUGAGCUGGACUGAAGUGAUAUUGCUGUCUGUCCGUCACCUAGCUGACCUCACCUGGAAUCAUGCAGGCAAACGACUACUGCAGGUGUAGGCAACUGCAUCUCAGAACGUUUUCGUGUUUAUGCUGUGCUCUCUCUGAGCUAACUGGUGCACGUGGUAUGGAGGGAGUUAAGUAAUUGCAAGUCAGUAGGUGAGGUUCCUGUCUUGCUUUCAGUGAAGUGAGCUCCUGCUGUGUCUAUUCAAUACUAUACCUUUGUUUGUUUGUUUUGCUUUGGUUUGUUUAUUACUGAUUGGAAAGAACAAUAAUGAAAUAUGAACUGCAGCAACAUCUGUC